rnacentral:lncRNA from 10 species
CAGGGCUCCCCGACUUCCCUAUGGCUGAUGUCAAAACGCCUCGCGGGGGCAGCCCAGGGGCACGGCCGCUCCGGGGGUCCCCUUUCGUCUGGAGAAACACAGAGGCCCACCAUCACCUGGCCGCGCCGUGCAGGCCUCUGCGCGGACCCCCGCCCCUGUCUCCACCUUCCCCAGGCCUGCGGGGCACGUGAGGCCUGGCCACACGGACCCGGGCGGAGGGCUGCGGGGGUGAAGGGAGCCCCCGCCCCAAUUCUGCACCCCUGGCCUCCCGCCUGCCUCCUUGCGGCCGAGCAGCCUCCGCUGCCUCCGCGCCUCCCGCCCGCCCGGCGUUCGUCCGCAGGCUCGGCCCGGCUCCUCCUCCCGACCCCGGUAAUACGAACCGCCGGCGGCUAACGCGGCCUCGCUCCCUCUCGCAAACCUCUCCCUCCUCCUCCUCCCCCUCGCCUCAGCUCCUCCUCUCGGGCGGGAGCGGGUAGCCAGGGGUGGAGUGGGGGAGGGCGGGGAACGCGGCCGCCCCGGCGCCGGCGGGACGUGGGGCGGGCAGCGGGCUGCAGGGCUGCGGGCGCUUGGUUCGGCCUGGCCCGGCCGGCGGCUCCUAACACCGGGCGGGCGGCUGCGGCGGCACUUCCGGGUUGGCCUUCUCCAUGUUGGUCUCGGGAACGUGAAGGGGCGGGGCCUCGAGGUCAGGGGUCAGCACCUCCCUGGUUGCCGUGGCGACUGGAGGCGCGCGACGCGGGCGCAAUGGCGGGGACCCGGGGCUUGAUGCUGCUUGGGCCUGGCCCAGUGGCGGGUCCUAGGGACGUGGGUACCUGCAGAGGCCGGCAGAUGGAGAUUCAGAAACAUAAGGACAACAAGAAACUUCCCCAAGGUAUCAUUAUAGUCUUUAGACUUCAGACACACACCACACCUCAAAUAUAUACACAACUGAAAGGAAAAUUAAGGAAGUUUUUCAAAGAACCCUAUUCCGAGUAAGAAGUGUGUUGCAUGAAUUUCUAAGGUCAAAGAUGUUGAUUCAUUCAUAGUGUGAGGCCCAGAAAUCGGCAUUUUUAAACAAGUACACUGGACAUUUCUAAAGCUGGCUAAAGUUUGAGAGACACUAUCCAAGGGAAAUUUCUCCGUAACUCUUUUUCUCAGAAGAAAAGUAAACUAAAAGUAAAAAUAAGCAGUACCACUAAGUUUCAAGUGAUCUUCUCCUAAAAGAAGAAAAGGCCUAUAUUCAGGCACAAGAAAAGUAUAUUCUCUUUUAUCCAUGCAGAAAACAGCUAGUGGUUGAAAAUCAACACUUCAGACCUCUUGUCUACAUAAAGCCAACUGCCCCUUUGUUUUACUGAUGUCUUCAAUGAUUUUACUUAGAUUUUUCUACGGCAUUUACUGAAUUAGCUAAGCAGACACAGAUCCAGUCCUUCAUGAAUAUGGUUUGGAGACUCUCUACUGAAUCAGCACUCUUAGCUUCACCGACAUAGUCUCUUGGUAGACCAGAAGGUGUAUCUUAUCUGGAAAGACUGCUAUAUCUACACCCACAAAAAGCAUUAUUUAUCUGAACACUAAAUUCUGACUUCCUUGCCAUUUUAGGGAGCCACUUUAAAACAUUUUCAAUAUUUGCUAUUUUGUAGCAGCAAAUCCUUCAGAAGGAGGUCAAGUGAUGGCCUUUAUCUGUUCCCAGUGUCUUGCCCUUAGGUCCUCAGGGCACCCCCUGGACAGCAGCCUUAGGAACCAGGUACAAAGCACAAGCACUGCUGGUCCGCAUGGUAAGGAAUCACUUCCAGACUGGGCCUUCCCAUGGGCUUCCCUGAGCUUCCUGGACUCAAAUCAUAGUCCUUCUUUUCCUCUCCCCUUUGGACUUGAUAAACGCAGUCCCAUUCAUUUAAUCUCCAACUUAGAAAUCCGGAGAAUGUGAGCCCUGGGAUUUACUUUCAGACACCCUCGUCGAUAACCUUGGCCACUUAGGUUGCUGCAGCCUGUCCCCAGGGAGACAGUUAGAAUGGAACAAUGACACAAACAACACCAACAAUAACAACAGCAGCAGAAGCAGAAGCAACAAUAGUAGAACGAGAAAUAAUUUAUAACAUGCUUACUACAUGCCAGGCACUAAGUGCUUACCCAUAUUAACUCAGUUAAUUCUUAUAACAACCAGAUGAGAUAGAUUUUCUUAUUAUCCCGAUUUUACAAAUGAGCAAACAGAGGCACAAGCAGGUUAAGAAACCUCCCCAAGGUUAAACAGUGAGAAACAGCAAAGAUUUGAACAGUGAGAAACAGCAAAGAUUUGAAACAGCAAAGAUUUGAACCUAUUGUUCGGGAGUCCAUGCUGUUACUCAUUUCUUUAUGCUGCCAUAAUCUAAUAUAAAAUUGAAUAACAAUAAAUGCACCUUAUAUUUGUAUAGCUAUACACACUAAUUUACAUGAUCUUCAUAAGAACUAUGAAAUGGCUGUGAUUAUCCCCAUUUUUAAAAUGAUACUAUAAAGGCAUAAAAUGCUGUAUUUAUGGUAUGCAACCCUUUGGUGAACAACCCUAUAAAUAUUUAAUUACUUAUAUUGAUGUUCUUCCUACGUCUAAGAAAAAUGUUAUUUCCAUUCCCAAGAUGUUAGUAGAGACGAAGAUUUUUCAAUUUGUCUCCUUGAUUUUGUUGGAUUAUAGCAUUAAAGUUAUUUUUACAAAGCCAUCUACGGUAACCCAGUAGAAAGGGUAAGCCUGUUGGCUUAGGAAAACUGAAUGGCAUUCAGUUUCUUCAAAGAAAUUUGGGACAGAUGUGGGUUUUUUUUCUUCUUCUUCUUCAACAAAUCCAGAAGAUGAAAAAUGUAUUUUAUUUCUUGUGAAAUGCAUUUUUCUGUUCAUCUCAGUAUGUGGGACUGUUGAAGUUUAUAAGUUUGGCAGUGUUCUAACAUGGCCAUCCUGUUCUCCUUUAGCAACUUAUUAAAUGUAUUUUUUUUAAUGAAAACAGAA